rnacentral:rRNA from 1 species
AGUGAACGCUGGCGGUAGGCCUAACACAUGCAAGUCGAACGGCAGCACAGUAAGAGCUUGCUCUUACUGGUGGCGGGUGGCGGACGGGUGCGGAAUACAUCGGAAUCUACUUUUUCGUGGGGGGUAACGUAGGGAAACUUACGCUAAUACCGCAUACUACCUACGGGUGAAAGCAGGGGAUCUUCGGACCUCGCGCGAUUGAAUCAGCCGAUGUCGGAUUAGCUAGUUGGCGGGGUAAAGGCCCACCAAGGCGACGAUCCGUAGCGGGUCUGAGAGGAUGAUCAGCCCCACUGGAACUGAGACACGGUCCAACCUCCUAGGGGAGGCAGCGGUGGGAAAUAUUGGACAAUGGGCGAAAGCCUGAUCCAGCCAUGCCGGGUGGGUGAAGAAGGCCUUCGGGUUGUAAAGCCCUUUUGUUGGGAAAGAAAAGCAGCAGCUUAAUACCCCCCUGUUUUGACGGUACCUAAAGAAUAAGCACCGGCUAACUUCGU